GACGAACGCUGGCGGCGUGCUUAACACAUGCAAGUCGAACGGAAAGGCCCUGCGUUUGUGGGGUGCUCGAGUGGCGAACGGGUGAGUAACACGUGAGUAACCUGCCCUUGACUUUGGGAUAACUUCAGGAAACUGGGGCUAAUACCGGAUAGGAGCUCCUGCUCCAUGGUGGGGGUUGGAAAGUUUCGGCGGUUGGGGAUGGACGAGCGGCUUAUCAGCUUGUUGGUGGGGUAGUGGCUGACCAAGGCUUUGACGGGUAGCCCGCCUGAGAGGGUGAACGGCCACAUUGGGACUGAGAUACGGCCCAGACUCCUACGGUAGGCAGCAGGGGGGAAUCUUGCCCAAUGGGCGGGAGCCUGAUGAAGCAACGCCGCGUGCGGGAUGACCGCCUUCGGGUUGUAAACCGCUUUCGCCUGUGACGAAGCGUGAGUGACGGUAAUGGGUAAAGAAGCACCGGCUAACUACGUG
rnacentral:rRNA from 1 species